rnacentral:tRNA from 2 species
GCCCCUGUGGCGAAAUGGUAGACGCAGUCGACUCAAAAUCGACCGCCGAAAGGCAUGCUGGUUCGAGUCCGGCCAGGGGCACCA